rnacentral:rRNA from 1 species
ACACAUGCAGUCGAGCGAAGUCUUCGGACUUAGCGGCGGACGGGUGAGUAACGCGUGGGAACGUGCCCUUUGCUUCGGAAUAGCCCCGGGAAACUGGGAGUAAUACCGAAUGUGCCCUACGGGGGAAAGAUUUAUCGGCAAAGGAUCGGCCCGCGUUGGAUUAGGUAGUUGGUGGGGUAAUGGCCUACCAAGCCGACGAUCCAUAGCUGGUUUGAGAGGAUGAUCAGCCACACUGGGACUGAGACACGGCCCAGACUUCCUACUGGCACGCAGCAGUGGGGAAUCUUAGACGAUUGGGCGCAUGCCUGAUUCUAGCCAUGCCGCGUGAUCGAUGAAAGACUUUAGUGUUCGUUAAAGAUCUUUCAGGUGGGAAGAUAAUGACCGGUACCAUCCUGAAGAAGCCCAGGCUAACUCCGUGCCAGCAGCCGCGGUAAUACUGGAGGGGGUUUUAAUUCGUGAUUCGGAAUGACUGGUGGUAGAGCGCAUGUAGACAUGAUCGGAAAGUCAGAGGUGAAAUCCUCAGGGCUCAACCCGGGAACUGCGUGUGAAACUCGUCGAUCUUGAGGUCGAGAGAGCCUGAGUGGAAUUCGGAGUGUAGAGGUGUAAUUCGUAGAUAUUAGGAGGAACACCAGUGGCGAAGGCGGCUCACUGGUUCGAUACUGACGCUGAGGUGUGAAAGCGUGGGGAGCAGACAGGAUUAGAUACCCUGGUAGUCCACGCCGUAAACGAUGAAUGCCAGUCGUCGGGCAGCAUGCUGUUCGGUGACACACGUAACGGAUUAAGCAUUCCGCCUGGGGAGUACGGCCGCAAGGUUAAAACUCAAAGGAAUUGACGGGGGCCCGCACAAGCGGUGGAGCAUGUGGUUUAAUUCGAAGCAACGCGCAGAACCUUACCAACCCUUGACAUGGGGAUCGCGGUUCCAGAGAUGGUUCCUUCAGUUCGGCUGGAUCGCACACAGGUGCUGCAUGGCUGUCUUCAGCUCGUGUCGUGAGAUGUUCGGUUAAGUCCGGCAACGAGCGCAACCCACGUCCUUAGUUGCCAGCAUUCAGUUGGGCACUCUAGGGAAACUGCCGGUGAUAAGCCGGAGGAAGGUGUGGAUGACGUCAAGUCCUCAUGGCCCUUACGGGUUGGGCUACACACGUGAUACAAUGGCAGUGACAAUGGGUUAAUCCCAAAAAGCUGUCUCAGUUCGGAUUGGGGUCUGCAACUCGCCCCCAUGAAGUCGGAAUCGCUAGUAAUCGCGUAACAGCAUGACGCGCUGAAUACGUUCCCGGGCCUUGUACACACCGCCCGUCACACCAUGGGAAUUGGUUCUACCCGAAGGCGGUGCGCCAACCUCGCAAGAGGAGGCAGCCGACCACGGUAGGAUCAGUGACUGGGGUGAAGUCG